GCAGAUAUAGAGACUAGAGGAGCAACAAAGUGAGCUGCUGAAGAUCUUGGAGCCACAUCCCUGAAAUUCUGACGGGUAUAUUUUAUAUCCUGAUUGUAAUAUUUAUUUUGGUGUAUGUAAAUGCAUGUACAUAUAUAAACUGGUUAUGAGCAGUUGUAUGGAUUUGUAAUAAUAUUAGUUUGGAUUUUCUAAUGUAAAUUUUGGAUUGAUGAAUGUAAAUUGAUUUUUCUUUAAUGAAAUAUAAAUGAAGUUAUUUAGUAUUAUUUUUUAUGACAAUUGAAUUGAGAACUAUUUUGAAUUAUGGAGUUUGGAGAAAUGAUGUUGAUUUGUGUAGUGGUAGUAUUGGAUUUGAUGAAAUGAAUUAUUGGAAAUGUUUUUACAGGUAUUUGAAGAACUGGUUUCUCAAAAUA
rnacentral:misc_RNA from 1 species